UGCCAGCCGCCGCGGUAAUACGGAGGGGGUUAGCGUUGUUCGGAAUUACUGGGCGUAAAGCGCACGUAGGCGGACUAGUCAGUCAGAGGUGAAAUCCCAGGGCUCAACCCUGGAACUGCCUUUGAUACUGCUAGUCUUGAGUUCGAGAGAGGUGAGUGGAAUUCCGAGUGUAGAGGUGAAAUUCGUAGAUAUUCGGUGGAACACCAGUGGCGAAGGCGACUAACUGGACUGAUACUGACGCUGAGGUGCGAAAGUGUGGGGAGCAAGCAGGAUUAGAUA
rnacentral:rRNA from 1 species